rnacentral:snoRNA from 1 species
AACCUCCAAAUUUCUUCCGCCUCGGAUCGAAAGAUUGGUCUGAAUGGCUAUAAAAGGAGGAAUAGUAAAACCGAAGUGAUUUUGGAUUCUUUAGUGACAUACAAGUUCAUUUCAAACAAAG